GUACUUAACGCAUCGUAUCCAAGUGGAAAGUUAUUAGUUGCGAUGAUCAUUAUUGCUAUUAUUUUUCUAGCAGUUAUUGCUAGUACCUAUUAUCAGCAACUG